AGUGAAUUUGAAAACGUCGUGCAAUCAAACACGUGCCAAUUAAAUUGAAGUUCUGGUGGAUUGUAUUAUUCGGUUUGGUUUAAAGAAGACAAGAGGACUGGGAAUCUUACUACGUUCGACAUCGGGAAAGAGAAAAAGUACCAACUGACCCCUCCAAUAACGAAGUCGUCAAAGUCCAUCGAUUUCUUAGUAGAUCUGGGAAAGGCCUCGGAUUUCCCAGGAACCAGCAUCUACAUAAACCCACGAUAACUACAACCAAAUAAACUAGCAAAAGCCGUCCGAAGAUAUA